AGUGAACGCUGGCGGUAGGCCUAACACAUGCAAGUCGAACGGCAGCACAGAGGAGCUUGCUCCUUGGGUGGCGAGUGGCGGACGGGUGAAGAAUACAUCGGAAUCUACUCUGUCGUGGGGGAUAACGUAGGGAAACUUACGCUAAUACCGCAUACGACCUACGGGUGAAAGCAGAGGAUCUUCGGACCUUGCGCGAUUGAAUGAGCCGAUGUCGGAUUAGCUAGUUGGCGGGGUAAAGGCCCACCAAGGGGACGAUCCGUAGCUGGUCUGAGAGGAUGAUAAGCCACCCUGGAACUGAGACACGGUCCAGACUCCUACGGGGGGCAGCAGUGGGGAAUAUUGGACAAUGGGCGCAAGCCUGAUCCAGCCAUACCGCGUGGGUGAAGAAGGCCUUCGGGUUGUAAAGCCCUUUUGUUGGGAAAGAAAUCCAUCUGGUUAAUACCCGGGUGGGAUGACGGUACCCAAAGAAUAAGCACCGGCUAACUUCGUGCCAGCCGCCGCCGUAA
rnacentral:rRNA from 1 species